rnacentral:rRNA from 1 species
GACGAACGCUGGCGGCGUGCUUAACACAUGCAAGUCGAACGGAAAGGCCCUGCUUUUGUGGGGUGCUCGAGUGGCGAACGGGUGAGUAACACGUGAGUAUCCUGCCCUUGUCUUUGGGAUAACUUCAGGAAACUGGGGCUAAUACCGGAUAGGAGCUCCUGCUGCAUGGUGGGGGUUGGAAAGUUUCGGCGGUUGGGGAUGGACUCGCGGCUUAUCCGCUUGUUGGUGGGGUAGUGGCUUACCAAGGCUUUGACGGGUAGCCGGCCUGAGAGGGUGGCCGGCGACCUGAGGACUAAGAGAGGGCCCAGAAUGCUACGGGAGGCAACAGUGGGGAAUAUGACGCAGCAACGGGGAGCGUGAUGCAGCAGCGCCGGGAGCGGGAUGACGGCCUACGGGUUAUGAACCGCUUUCGCCUGUGACGAAGCGUGAGUGACGGUAAUGGGUAAAGAAGCCACGGCUAACUACGUG